rnacentral:rRNA from 1 species
UACAGAGGGGGCGAGCGUUGUUCGGAAUUACUGGGCGUAAAGGGCGCGUAGGCGGCCCUCUAAGUCGAACGUGAAAUCCCCGGGCUCAACCCGGGAACUGCGUCCGAUACUGGAGGGCUCGAAUCCGGGAGAGGGAUGUGGAAUUCCAGGUGUAGCGGUGAAAUGCGUAGAUAUCUGGAGGAACACCGGUGGCGAAGGCGGCAUCCUGGACCGGUAUUGACGCUGAGGCGCGAAAGCCAGGGGAGCGAACGGG